GCCCCCCCCGGGCCUGGCCGCGGGCGACCCCUGGCGGCCCCGGCGGGCAGCGCAGCCCGGCGGCUGGGGCAACCCCCAAGGCCUGGGACAGCGGGGACACGCACGACCUGGCAAAAGGGGGCCGGUUCCACUCUGCAAGGGCCCCGACACACUAAAACAAAAAAAAAAAAGAAAGCGGGAAACUGUGCUAAAACGCGGUCAGCUCCAAAAUAUGAGCAGCCAUAUGUUUUUAUUUGAAUAUAACAAAAAUCUACAUUUGAGCCCUCCGUAUAGGCCUCCUGUCCCCCCUUAGGCCCUGCAGACAGAGAGACCAAGAGAGACGUGAGUGAGAGACAAAGGAGGAGGAGAUGAGGGGGAUUAGAGUGACGCCUCCCCUGGCGACCACAGGCCUCCUAGUCCUGGUCUGGCCCUGUCCCCGGAUGCCUCUAGACACCACAUCCUCUUCCCACAUCGCUGGAACUCAGCAGGUGCCCAGCAGGCUCUGGCCAGGCCCCAGCCCUCCACCAGGGGCUGAACUGUGAAGUCAUCCCUACCUGUACUGUCCUCAGCGGCAUCAGGAAGAGGGACAUUCCCUGGGCUGAGCCAUGAACGGAAGCAUGCCCCGCCCUCCAGGACUCCCGGCCCAGGUGAGACUGGGCAGGUGUCCGUACUCACCUGGCUCCGAGGCUAUUUAUAGACUCUGUGUCAUCCUCAGAAACAGCAGUUUCUCUCCACUCAGCUGAAGUGGCUUCUCAUCCAGGGUGUUAAUGGUUUUUGUCACCUGGGGAUCCCGUAGGAUUCCUUUAGGUGUCAUAGAGCCAAAGAACAGACAGGUGAUGCUGACAUUCAGGGCUGACAAAUUCGGAUGCCUGCGGGGGCUGGGCAGUGACACACACAAGUGAAGCAUACUGGGCGAGGUCUAGGGAGUGAGGGGGCACUGCGCUGUGUCCACACCCCAGGUAAAGGGGCCGCUGCUGCCCCGGCCAGCCAACUGUGUGUGUGAGACUAGGGACCCAGUAGAGCCAAGAUCUUCUCCUUUUUCAAUAAAAGCUGAAAACCUCAGGUUUUAUGGGAAUCU
rnacentral:lncRNA from 1 species